rnacentral:lncRNA from 1 species
GAUGCUAUAGUUGUAUGAAUGUUCUUUUGACCUGCGAUGGUAUGAUUGCUCAUAGUGAGGCUACUGAAGUUUGACUGACAUACAAAUAUGAUCUCAAUGAGCUCUUGUAGUAGAUAUUGGUGACAGUUGAUCCACUGUAGGAGUAGGGUGCAUUCAAGAAAAGAUCUAUCGAUCUUGAUAGAAAAGAGUAGUCCUAUGAGAUUUGAGAGGCUAAGUCCAAGAGUCUGUGGCCACAGCAGUGUGAUUAUAGAAAAAAAUUUCUAUAAGGAU